rnacentral:rRNA from 1 species
GAUAAACGCUGGCGGCGUGCAUGAGACAUGCAAGUCGAACGAACGAGCUUGCUCGUUAGUGGCGGACGGCUGAGUAACGCGUGGGUGACCUGCCCCGAAGUGGGGGAUAACUGCCCGAAAGGGUGGCUAAUACCGCAUGUGGUGACACGUUCAAUCGUGUCAUCAAAGCCGCGAGGCGCUUCUGGAGGGGCCUGCGUCCGAUUAGCUCGUUGGUGGGGUAAUGGCUCACCAAGGCGACGAUCGGUAGGUGGUCUGAGAGGACGAUCACCCAGACUGGGACUGAGACACGGCCCAGACUCCUACGGGAGGCAGCAGUCGGGAAUUUUGCUCAAUGGGCGAAAGCCUGAAGCAGCAACGCCGCGUGAGGGAUGAAGGCCUUCGGGUUGUAAACCUCUUUUCUCAGGGACGAUGAUGACGGUACCUGAGGAAUAAGUCACGGCUAACUACGUGCCAGCAGCCGCCGUAAUAC